CACAGGGUUGCUGUAAGAAUCAAGCGAGAUGUCUGAGGAAUAGUCUUAGUGGAUUAUCCCAAACUUGACACAUUUUUUGCAAAAUGCUAUACAAAAAGAAGAUACAUGCGAUUAUGACAAGAUUCUCCACUUGGUGUGACCAGUCUCAUACAACCCAAGGCUGUGUGUCCAAAGGCAACUGCACUGUGAGUUUCACAUUUCCAAAGUUUUAGAUGACAUGUACAAUCUGAUUAGCCUUUAAAUCUCAUACCCUCUGCAGGUAUUGGAAAAUACAAGGAUGUCAUAAGUAUCUAUAUUUAUAUUUAAAAUGUGCUUAUAUUUAUAUAAAUAUAUAAAUAAAAAUAUGCAAAUAGUUGUCUAUGAAGCUAGCAAUGUGAUUAUAUGCUUUUCUUUUUCCUAGGUAGUCUGGGACUGGAAACAAAUUGGGAACAUUUUUCAUUGCAUAUUUGGCUCAGAUCUGCCACUUAGUUGAAGUAUAAUCUUCAGCAAGUGACUCAAAAUUUCUGAAUCUCGUUUUCACCAUCAAUACAUGACAAUAAUAUUUUCUCCUUUAAGUAUUUGAAAGUUUUGAGAAAGCCACAAUAGCAACACUUGCAAAAGUGCUCCAUUGUAAAAUGCAAGGGAGAGGUAGUUGUGACCCUUUGGGGAAAACUAUAGUUGCCACAAUUGUCUCUGAAGUGAAGCAUGUUUCUUAGACUGAAGGAAAGCCCUGGGAGAGAUUGGUCUAGCUUUAGGAUGACUGUGGGUAGAGCUUCUAGGGAGAAGAAUGAAACGUAUUCCUCUUCCUUCUUUCUAGGAAUACUGGAAAGCAUUUAUUUGUUUGCU
rnacentral:lncRNA from 1 species